CGUUAAGAAGCUAAGCAGGGCAUAGCGUCAGCCUUUUAAGCUGAAGACUGGUGACUCCCAACCACCCUUAACGA
rnacentral:tRNA from 1 species